rnacentral:rRNA from 1 species
GUGUCAGCAGCCGCGGUAAGACGUAGGGCGCGAGCGUUGUCCGGAUUUAUUGGGCGUAAAGAGCUCGUAGGCGGCUUGUCGCGUCGAAUGUGAAAUCCUGCGGCUCAACUGCAGGCUUGCAUUCGAUACGGGCAGGCUAGAGUUCGGUAGGGGAGACUGGAAUUCCUGGUGUAGCGGUGAAAUGCGCAGAUAUCAGGAGGAACACCGGUGGCGAAGGCGGGUCUCUGGGCCGAUACUGACGCUGAGGAGCGAAAGCGUGGGGAGCGAACAGGAUUAGAUACCCUGGUAGUCC